rnacentral:snRNA from 1 species
AGGUUAAUCCGAGGUGUGAUCAUUGCUGGUUGAAAACUUUACCCAAUACCCCGCUAGGAUGACUUGAAAUAUAGUCAGUCAUGGCAAUUUUUGAUGGUCUCAUUUGAGA